AUGGGUUCCUGAGCUCUCUACUGUUAAUAGAACUUGCUCUCUCGCAGGCCAAUGCCUCACCAGGUGAUUGAAGCAGAGAAACUUAGGUGGUGAAAAGAGAAGAUGGGGCCUGUCCUGAGAGUUUCUGUUCCUGAGAUUCUAGAGGCAGAGGGUCCCUAAACUUUCCUGAGUCGGCAGACAUCCCCUCUGGAGAAGAGGUUGGCCCCAGAGUCGAACAUCCUCUGAUCUACCUGAUCCUGCUGCCCUUCCAUUCCACUUCCCCACAUCUGUUCUUUCUGGUCGUGUUUACUCCCCUAUUAAAAAAACAAAACCAGAAAACGUGUUUGCCUAGAUCUUGAGACUCUGGAAGAUCUUAACAGUCAGAGGUUCCCCCUAUUUGCAAUGAUCUCCUUUCCUGGCCCUUCCUAUCCUUGCAAUAAUCCUUUUGAUUAAAGUCUCUCCUUACUAAA
rnacentral:sRNA from 1 species